UCUCUGGAAUAUUGGUAUGCAGGGCCUUCUGUAAGACCCGUGAUCUCAUUUUUUGGAUGGCCCUACGCUGUGGGGCUA
rnacentral:snRNA from 1 species